rnacentral:lncRNA from 1 species
GGCAACUACAGAAGAUGUGUUUCAGUGUGAAAUCUCACUUGUGUGCUGCUAAAUGACCCUGCAAUCUGUACUAACUUGAGCUUGUCUUCACACACCCUGCAUGCUGCAGAGCUAAUAAAUGAUGGAGGAUGACUAACUCUGCUUAAAAAUCCUUUUUCUUUAUUACACAGAUGGACUGGGUGGUUGGAAUACAUCGGGGUGUGAAAUGGAAUAUACAGAUAUGAAUUAUACAAUCUGUUUCUGUAACCAUCUUACCCAUUUUGGAGUCCUACUGGACUUGGCCCGGACCGAAAUAGAUGUCACACAUGAUCAUAUAUUAACUUUGACAAGAUAUGCAGGAUGUGGUGCUUCUUCACUUUUUUUGGGAAUAACGCUCAUGACAUACCUAACCCUUGAGUAAGUAUGAUCCUUUUUCUUACACUGACUGUAAUAUUUUGGCAAUAAGGAAUUUGCAGCAAUGAUCAGAAUGUUUGCUAGUAUUUGAUGCUGUGAUGCAUAAAAGGGAAGACUGAGAGUAUAAAUAUUGCUUUAUUUUGAUGUCUGUCUGCUGCAAAAUUAGAGAGAUUUGAAUACUUCUACUUCAAUACAAGCACCUAUCUUUACUGUUCAGCAAUUUUUAUGUUCCUAAAUUUCACAAAAUCAUUGAAUGCUUUGGAUUGGAAGGGAUUACUAAAAGGUCCUCUAGUUUCAGCACCUUGCCAUUGGUAGGGAUGCUUUCCACUAGACCAUGUUGCUCCAAGCCCCAUCCAACGUGGCCUUGAACACUUCCUGGGACAGAGCAGCCACAGCUUCUCUGGGCAACCUGUGCCAGGGCCUCACCGCUCUUUCAGUAAAAUGUCUGUAAAGAGUAAAAAUUCCUGUCAUUUCAAAAAUUUACCCCUGGACAUGGGUGAGUUAUUACAUCAAGAAUCUGGAAUAUUCCUGUGCAUACGGUUAGACUGCAAACACACUCCUGUAGGGAGUAAAUAGUCUGUAAAUUGGAUGAUGCAGUGAUAACCUUCCGGACUUUCCCCUUUCUUUUAGGAAGGUACGGAGAGACAACCCCUCAAAAAUCCUGCUCAACCUUUGUGCUGCGCUGCUGAUGCUGAACUUUGUCUUCCUCACCAACUCCUGGCUGACCUCAUUCAACCAGCCAGGCCUCUGCAUCACCAUGGCCAUGCUCUUGCUCAUAAGCUAUUGGAUUUUUUCAUUUUCUAUAGUAAACUCUUUAUUCCACAAUCUGCUGCUAAAUACAAGCUUUCCCUGCUUUCCAGUGUGAGGCACAACACACUGCUGUGGUGCUAAAGCUGUGCCUAACCCCCCUGUUCCCCUAACCUGGCUGCUGCACAGCCCAGGGGGAUCCU